UCCAUCCUCAAAUCCCACUAUAUUUUGCUCGAUUCGUACUGCAGUUGUGCAAAUCAUGGCCAUAUUCGCGAUUAGGAUAUGGGGAUUCGUCUCACGCUUCCAACCCGUGCUAUUUUUUUUUGUCACUGCACCUAUACUGCUGAUUUAUCGGUAGGUGAUAGAAAUUCGUGUGGUGCGGGUCAUCAUGGCGCCCAUCUGUUGGUCAAUCAAUCUCCGAUAUGUCCUUGGUCAGCUGAUUUUUCCCAUUGUCUUCUGACAGCACGUUUCUAUAUCAGAGAUUUUUGCUAGAAUCCCCUUGUUAUCUGUAGGAUUAUAGGUUCCAUGAGACAUUGGAAUUUACCAAGUAGUUUCUGUAAUGGUCAAUCAUCAUACCCAUAUUUUGUGUUCAUUUUUGUCCUAUUCCUAGAUGUAGUAGGCAGUUUAAUCAGAUAGCAUGGCUCAACGUGGCUAAGUUUGGUUAUCGAAUUCAACAUAGGCGCUUUUUUUCACCAUAAUUUAGUUGCUUUUUAUUAUCUGCAAGUUAAGUUUUUUUCCAGCUCCAUGAUUUUUAAGUUGCACACAGAAUUUUACUUAGUUGCUUGCUCAACAUGGCUAGGUUGCUUGCCUUCGGGACAUUUAAAUAAAUCUGAAUCUACUUUCAUACCGACUGGAGCCAGAGUGAUGCUAUAGAGAAAAUUGCAGUGGAGACUCUUCUUGGAGAUUGCCUUCGUAUAUUGUGUUGCAUCUUCAUUGUUAGAAGCAUGCUGAUAGCUUUACUCACAUGGAUAGCUAUGCCUCACUGAUCAGCAGUUGGUUUGCUGUUGUACAGUAUGUUAGUUUUUUCAUUUUGUCUGAGCCUUCUAAUGCUAGAAAAGGUUGGAUGCUUUUCAUAGAUAUGAGAGUGGUUGGGUGUAUGGGAGUCGUGCGAAUGGAAGUAGAUGUGAUGAAACUUCUUUUCGUAGGCACAACUAGGAUAAUUUCCGUAGAAAAAUGAGCUAAAUACACUCAAAAUAUUGAUUGACCUUUUAUUGCCAAAGUAAACGCUGGAGAGGCUUGCACGUUGCACCUGACCUGGUUGCCUGUGAUUAAGAUCUACAUGGUACGUUGUGGAACUCAACGCCAUUGAUAUUUUGUUGGGGCACAGGUCAGGGCCGGGUCCUUAUCAAUCAACAACGUAAUAUACUCUUGACAGAUUUUCUAUUAAAGCCCCACCACAGCACCACGCGGUCGAUGACUGACCGUCUCCCCACCAAGUCCGGUGAUGGUAGGUACCUAAGACCAGCAGUUUGCGUUGAUGGCAGCAUGAUCAAUGAAGCAAAAUGUUAUUCCUACAUCGAUGCUACAACACAUGUACAAAGUCAGAUAAGAAACAUGCUUUGUAUUUAGAAAUUACAGUAGUCGAAGCUACCUUCUUCUCGAAAACAUGUUCCUGAACUUCAUCUUUUAUGUCAGUACAAUAUUAAUCUUUUGUCGCACAAAAGAUAUGUCCAAGAACUAUUACUAGCAUGUUUGAUUCCGGGGAGCCUCAAUUUUGUGUCACACCUGCUUAAUUUUUCCUAUUUUGUGCACAUUGAUAUAUGGAUACAAGCUGCUCAAGUUUUGUUCUACUA